UGGCUCAGCAGUUGAGAGCACUGGCUGCUCUUCCAGAGAACCUGGGUUCAAUUCCCAG
rnacentral:tRNA from 1 species